UACGUAGGGUGCGAGCGUUGUCCGGAAUUAUUGGGCGUAAAGAGCUCGUAGGCGGUUUGUUGCGUCGGCUGUGAAAACCUACAGCUUAACUGUGGGCCUGCAGUCGAUACGGGCAGACUUGAGUUCGGCAGGGGAGACUGGAAUUCCGGGUGUAGCGGUGGAAUGCGUAGAGAUCCGGAAGAACACCAGUGGCGAAGGCGGUUAGCUGGGCAGUUGCUGACACUGAUGCGCGACAGCGUGGGGGAGCAAACAGG
rnacentral:rRNA from 1 species